CCUACGGGAGGCAGCAGUGAGGAAUAUUGGUCAAUGGGCGGAAGCCUGAACCAGCCAUGCCGCGUGCAGGAAGACGGCUCUAUGAGUUGUAAACUGCUUUUGUACGAGGGUAAACGCAGAUACGUGUAUCUGUCUGAAAGUAUCGUACGAAUAAGGAUCGGCUAACUCAGUGCCAGCCGCCGCGGUAAUACGGAGGAUUCAAGCGUUAUCCGGAUUUAUUGGGUUUAAAGGGUGCGUAGGCGGUCGGAUAAGUUAGAGGUGAAAUCCCGAGGCUCAACUUCGGAAUUGCCUCUGAUACUGUUCGGCUAGAGAGUAGUUGCGGUAGGCGGAAUGUAUGGUGUAGCGGUGAAAUGCUUAGAGAUAAUACAGAACACCGAUUGCGAAGGCAGCUUACCAAGCUACUUCUGACGUUGAGGCACGAAAGCGUGGGGAGCAAACAGGAUUAGAUACCCCUGUAGUC
rnacentral:rRNA from 1 species